UAGGGAAUCUUCGGCAAUGGACGAAAGUCUGACCGAGCAACGCCGCGCGAGUGAAGAAGGUUUUCGGAUCGUAAAACUCUGUUGUUAGAGAAGAACAAGGACGUUAGUAACUGAACGUCCCCUGACGGUAUCUAACCAGAAAGCCACGGCUAACUACGUGCCAGCAGCCGCGGUAAUACGUAGGUGGCAAGCGUUGUCCGGAUGUAUUGGGCGUAAAGCGAGCGCAGGCGGUUUCUUAAGUCUGAUGUGAAAGCCCCCGGCUCAACCGGGGAGGGUCAUUGGAAACUGGGAGAGUUGAGUGCAGAAGAGGAGAGUGGAAUUCCAUGUGUAGCGGGGAAAUGCAUAGAUAUAUGGAGGAACACCAGUGGCGAGGGCGGCUCUCUGGUCUGUAACUGACGCUGAGGCUCGAAAGCGUGGGGAGCAAACAGG
rnacentral:rRNA from 1 species